UAGGGACAACACAUACUGAAUGCUGUUCUAUUGACAGGGACCAUACUGGGACACUUAACCUACUUGUGCUUCCUAGUGAGAUCAUUAUGGUUCUUUUUUCCAACCUGAAAAAUCCUUGAAGCCCUUGAAGCCAUGCCUAGUGAUACCUGUGCAUGAUCCGACCUAUACCUAACAAAAGGAUUCAGGACUCAGAAGGUCCUUGGAGAAGAUAAUGACACUGCAUUACCAAAAUGCAAGGAUAUAAAAAUAAAUUCAUUACUACAGUGGUUCUGGAAUUUGUGUAUCAGCACCUGGUAUCAGCACUGUGGAGACACGGAGCCAAUCUGAGUUCACUACAAAGCAGUACAGAGAGUGACCCAAAGAAUCUCCUGACAACCAGGUAUCAUCACAAUGCUGGCUGUUGCUGUUGGGUGUGGACUCCCCCUUCAAACCUAUUGGCAGCCACAGGAGUGACAAGGAAGUGUGAGACAACAGGAUUUAAAGUCACCAGCACUUAAAAGAAGCAACCUAAGUGUCUGUGGAUGGAUGAAUAGAUAAAGAAAAUGUUAUAUAUAGCACAUAUAUAUAUAUAUAUAUAUAUGAAUAUUAUUCAGCCAUAGAAAGAAGGAAGUCCUGUCAUUUGCAACAACACAGAUGAAACAAAAGGGCAUUAUGCUAAAUGAAAUAAGUCAGACAGAGAGAAAGACAAAUACUAUAUGAUCUCACUAUUUAAAUAUGGAGUCUUAAAAAAAAGUCAAACUCCUAACAAACAGGAGAAUGUUGGUCACCAAGGGCUGGCACAUGGGGGGAAUGGGAAGAUAUUGAUCAAAAGGCACAAACUUCCAGUUAUAAGAUGAAUAAGUUCUGGGUAUCUAAGGUACACAUGGUGAUUACAGUUAAUAAUACUGUAUUAUAUCCUGGAAAAUUGCUAAGGAAAUAGAUGUUAUGCAUUCUUACCAGAAAAAAAAGUAACUAUGUAAGGUGAUGAAUAUGGUAAUUAACUUGAUUAUGGCAAUAUUUUCACCAUGUAUACUUACAGCAAAUCAUCAUGUUGUACAUUUAAAUAUACACAGUUGUAUCUUUCAAUUAUACCUCAACAAAGCUAGGGAAAAUACAUAAUAAAAUAAAAUAAUCAACACCAAACAUUCAAGAUUUUUAUGGCAGAUUAUCUUCAAGAGAAUAAGUGCUCUGUGAAGUGUAGGACUGUGCUGGAAAAUGAGGGGAUCCUGCUUUAAAAGACUCUGAUACUUGGGAAGAGAGGAAGAGAGGGAGGGCUUGGCUCCUUGUCCCAGCUGUGGGGUCUCUGGAGAGCUCCACACGGCGACUCUUCUUGCCUGUAAAAUGUGGAAGUUGGGCAGAGACACAAGACAGGCAGGCAGGAAAAGCUACCGCAAGCUCCAUUGUAUUUCUUUUCCAGGGAAUUUCAGAGGUUGAUGGAAGUUUCCCUAAGGAUUUCACUUCAAGCUAACAAUGGAGAAUAAAAAAGAAUUUAAGAGGAGAGCAUAAAUCCAGCAGAGACAACGACACACAGAUCUCGCCCUCCACAGUUUUCAAAGCACCUUCCUGCACGCAAGUCUGUAUGUGAAGCUGAGCCAAAGGAGCAAAGAUGGUGGUGUCAGUGGACUUGGGUUUGGACCCUUGCUUUUCUGUCCACUGAUGUUAGCCAUCAAGCUUCAGUUUCAUCUGUGUUGUUGCAAGGAAGGAAGGCAGAGAAGAAGAAGGAAGGAAGGAGAAAAAGAAGGAAGGAAAGAGAAAGAGAGAAAGAAAAAAAGAGAGAGAGAGAAGUCUCUUCACAGGAUUCUGCUGUGUGUAGAGUGAGGUAAUGCAGGUAAAAUACCUACUACAUGGCAGGUACUUGAUGAACGGUAGCGAUCCCCAUCAUUCAUAAACUUCACCCCUGGAAGACUUUGUACAAGUGUUUGUUGAAGCACCAGCUCCAUUUUGCAGAUGAGAACACUGAGACUCAGGGAGGUCAAGUGGCUUGCCCAAGGUCACAGCUAGAAGGAGGACAGUUUUCCAGCUCCAAGUCCUGAGCUCCGUGCAAUACUUUCCUAUACAACCAUUGGGAUUGGAGUUGUAUUUCCAUGCAAGUCGGACACCAAAUAAGGAAAGAUACUCGGAGGGGUCCUUCCUUUGAAAUCAAUCAGCCUUUGAUCUUAACAAAAAAAGCCAUACAAUUUUCAAAUAGAAAGCCUUUGCAAAAUGCUCUUUCCUUGGAAGCCAUUGUUCGACCUCGUACUUCUAUAAAAUAAUUGCUUUAUGCCUUAAGACUGUUGAUUUGUGUGAAUUCAGACAUUUUGUAAGUAGGUGAUGUUUCUGAAGUUAUUAUCAGUCACUGUGUCUUCCAUAGCUGGAUGAAAGAGUCGUAUCACAGUCCCGUGGCUUUUCUAAAAUGCACCAUGUGUUAUCUUUGACAGCAGCGGAGCAUGCCAGACAGGAGGACACUGGUUGACCACUUCUGAAUUCCUUCACCUAUGCUAAAAACAGACAGAGAUAUGGUUGAAGGAAUCUGGCCCCAGCACCUAAGAAUUGUUGCUACAUCAACUACUAUAACAUGGAGAAGUUGAA